GAGGAUCUUUAUACUAUCGGAACAUAUACCUUUCCUUGUAACAGGAUCUUUACUAAAUAUUUUUCAAACUAAAAUUUAUGUAAAUUUUUAACAGUCACCAGCAUAUCCAAUUUCUGAUCUGUUAGUCAAAUGUGUAUAUAAAACUGUGAAAUUAUAAAUUCCAGAACUAGUUGACAGGUUUUGAUUUCUGAAUGGUAAAAUGAAAUAUCCCUGCAUCUUGCUGUGUCCCAUCAGGUCCCCUCUUUAUAUACUAUCUGUGCAUUUGUCAUGUAGAAGAGAUCGAUCUGUGUGAAUAUUGAAGUGUGUUCAACUGAUCCCUAAUAUACUUACUGACCCCAGAGCACAAGGUGUGACAUGGGCCAAGGAGAAAUUGUGAGAGUUCUCAAUUCAAGAAACAAACAAUGGAGCCGGGCGUGGUGGCCCACGCCUUUAAUCCCAGCACUUGGGAGGCAGAGGCAGGCGGAUUUCUGAGUUCGAGGCCAGCCUGGUCUACAAAGUGAGGUCCAGGACAGCCAGGGCUACACAGAGAAACCCUGUCUCGAAAAACCAAAAAAAAAAAAAAAAAAAAAGAAAAAAAAAAGAAACAAAGAAACAAUGGGAUGGAUAAAGAUCUAGAGUGGGCAUGAACAUGCCUGUGAGGCUGUGCAGGAGGAAGGAAUUCAGGCUCUUGUUGCUGUCUCACUAAGCUGUUUGAAUUCCAUCCACAGUGUACAGUGUGAGCUUUAUGAAGAGAGUGGAGACGUAAAACUGAAAGCUUCAACGCUGCCUCUAGUUUCCAGUAUCCACUAGUAAUGUCCAGAAAGUAGCCACUGGAGACCACUUUCUUUUCUAACAAAGUCUCCUUUUGUCUACCUCAUGUGGGUUGUACUAGAGCCUGCACUCUGCUCUUUAAGAAUGUAUAUUCAAACAGGUAAACCUCCCUCUGCUCUGGACUUUGCUUAUUGUUCUGCCUCUGGCAAUAUGCCUCCGUCCGUGGCUAAUUUGCUGCCAGGUUUGGCGACCUGAGAUUAACCCCCAGGAAGUUUAAGUUGUCCUCUGACCUCCACUAAAAUUUUAUGGAAAAGAAAAUACUUGAGAUGAAUUUUAGAGGAUGGGUGCAGUUUGUUUUGAUUAUCCUUUUGGUGGUCUGUCUGUCUGUCUGUCUGUCUGUCUGUUCAAGACAGAGUUUCUCUGUGUGGCCCUUACUGUCUGGAACUUGCUCUGUAGACCAGGCUGGCCUCAAACUCACAGAGAUUUGCCUGCUUUCCAAAUGCUGGGAUUAAAGGUGUGCUUUAAUCCCACCACCACUGACACCAGUUUAAUCCACAGUUGAGCAGUGCAUGACUUUAAACCUAGCACUUGGGAGGCAGAGGUAGACAGUGCUCUGAGUUGGAGCCAGGGCUACACAGAGAAACCUGUCUCAAAACCAACCAACCAACCAAACAAACACAAUAAAGAACCCUCAUAGUUGAGAAUUUAUGAACUUUUUUUUCUGUUUAAUCUAAAUUUAAAAUUUAGAUUUAGUCAGUGAACUUUC
rnacentral:lncRNA from 1 species